UGAGCCGCCGACCUUCGAGCUGAGCGUCACGUUCUUCAUGACGUCCUCAUCCAGCCCUGAGAUCCUAACUGAUUGAAAGAUGCACUUUCAAAUCUUCGCUCCGGCUCCACGACAACGUGGCAGGCGGAAUGAAUGAAGCUGAUCUUUCAAGCAGCAAGAGAUCUCCGCCUUCAUUCUUGCUGAAGGCAGUUCCAUCUUCGAAGGUCACUACACUUCCUGCCGAAUCACCACCUCUCCGGCAACGAUGCUUCGCAAGCUACAUCGUUAAAUCAACUUUUCCAGAUUACUUGUUCGAAAAUUAGUCAUCGGUGAAAGCUGAUUGGGCUUUGUAGUCAAUGUGAAAAUGGCGGUGGUCACUCAGACCAACUGUGUAACCCAUCAAAUCUGGCUUGAAGUUAGCAGGAGGAAUAUAACAACACUUGUUCAUAACAAGUGUUGUUAUAAACUUCAUGGCUAUUCAACGCCUGAUUUGAUUAAUUAUUUAUGACAUUUUCUCUAUACGGGAAAAUAUCAUAGGUGAUUCCUUUCUGGCUCAUACGAACGUUCCCAGAACGUAAUAAACUCCAUCUCCACCGAAUCCCUUGUCAACUACGACACGCCUGGGUAACGACUUAUAUUUGCUAUCACGCAAACGACAUGCAAUUAACUGCAGAAAUUACUAAAUAUCCGAAUAACACCUUUAUCCUCAAUGGAUGGAUCGGAUA